AAUUCAUAAAUUCAAAUAGGCCAAAAAAAAUAUGUUUAACAUUAAAAGUGCAAAAGUUUUUAACACAAUAGUCUCCUUUAACAAAAAAGAGAAAAAUAAUGUAAGAAGUUUAAAAUAUUUGUCAAGUUGUGGAUCUUUUAUCAGAGUGAAGUAUUAUCAAACAAAGAAACGAGCUAUAGACUUAACUCAGAAAAGACAUACGAAGCCAAGAACCAUGUAAAGAAGAAAAGAGAAACGAAAUAGGAACAAAGAAAAAUACCUUUUGGGUUUGUUCUGAUUUCUUGAGCUCCAGUUUUCUCUUUUAGAAGUAUUAUAAUAUGUUUUUCCGUUGUGUGAAGGAGGCAUUACAUGUUUGGUUGAUCCA